CGGGGGAAGGAAGGAGGGUGGGGUGCAAGGGAGGAAGCGUGGAGAGGGAGGGGGAGGCGGGACAGACCAGGAGGGCUCUUACUCCUCUGGGCUUUUCCCCCACUUUCCAGACACUCGAUGGAUCCACCCACAUUCACUUCCAACUUUAACAAUGAACUUUGGGUCAGAGGACGGCAUGAGACUUACCUGUGUUAUGAGGUGGAGCGCCUGCACAAUGACACCUGGGUCCUGCUGAACCAGCGCAGGGGCUUUUUAUGCAACCAGGCUCCACAUAAACAUGGUUUCCUUGAAGGCCGCCAUGCAGAGCUGUGCUUCCUGGACGUGAUUCCCUUUUGGAAGCUGGACCUGCACCAGGACUACAGGGUUACCUGCUUCACCUCCUGGAGCCCCUGCUUCAGCUGUGCCCAGGAAAUGGCUAAAUUCAUUUCAAAUAACAAACACGUGAGCCUGUGCAUCUUCGCUGCCCG
rnacentral:lncRNA from 1 species